CUGCUCAAUGAUUAUUACUUAAAUAGCUGCAGUAUAAAUAACUGUACAAAGGUAGCAUAAUAAUUUGUUUUUUAAUUAAAAACUAGAAUGAAAGAUUAAAUGAAAUAUAAACUAUAUAAAAUUUAAAUAAUAAAUUUAUUAUUUAAAUAAAAAAAUUUAAAUAAUUUUUAAAGACGAGAAGACCCUAAAGAAUUUUAAUAAUAAAUUUUUUUAAAUAAAUUAAUUUAUUAUAUUAAUUGGGGAAAUUUUAAAAUUUUAAAAAUUUUUAAUUAAAUAAACAUAAAUUUUUGAAUAAUUAAUUUUUUUUUAAAAAAUUAAAUUAAAUUACCUUAGGGAUAACAGCAUAAUUUUUUUAAAAAG
rnacentral:rRNA from 1 species